AUUGAACGCUGGCGGCAGGCCUAACACAUGCAAGUCGAACGAGUGGCGGACGGGUGUGUAAUGUCUGGGAAACUGCCUGAUGGAGGGGGAUAACUACUGGAAACGGUAGCUAAUACCGCAUACCAUCAGAUGUGCCCAGAUGGGAUUAGCUUGUUGGUGGGGUAACGGCUCACCAAGGCGACAAUCCCUAGCUGGUGUGAGAGGAUGACCAGCCAGACUGGAACUGAGACACGGUGCAGACUCCUACGGGAGGCAGAAGUGGGGGUUAUUGCACAAUGGGGGCAAGCUGGAUGCAGUCAUGCCGCGUGUAUGAAGAAGGCUUUCGGGUUGUAAAGUACUUUCAGCGGGGAGGCGUUACCCGCAGAAGAAGCACCGGCUAACUCCGUGCCAGCCGCGGCGGUAAUUC
rnacentral:rRNA from 1 species